UACGGGGGGGGCAAGCGUUGUUCGGGAAUUACUGGGCGUAAAGGGCUCGUAGGCGUGCCAACUAAGUCGGACGUGAAAUCCCUCGGCUUAACCGGGGAACUGCGUCCAUGACUGGAUGGCUUGAGUUUGGGAGAGGGAUGCGGAAUUCCAGGUGGUAGCGGUGAAAUGCGUAGAUAUCUGGAGGAACACCGGUGGCGAAGGCGGCAUCCUGGACCAACACUGACACUGAGAGCGAAAGCCAGGGGAGCAAACGGG
rnacentral:rRNA from 1 species